rnacentral:lncRNA from 10 species
GACGGAAAGGCAUUGGAGGAUGGCGAGCGGAGAAGAAACACAAGCUGCCCUAGGUCCUAACAAGAUUGCUCUUCCUGUUCUGCGGAGAGGAUCUGUGCUGGAGGGGAUGUGAGUGAAAGACCAGAUGGGAGGUGAGCACAGCUUCAGGAGAGAGACUGUGUGAACUUCCACAGGGCGGCUGAGGUGAAGGAGCUCCAUGUGCAGAUUCUGGAUAUAUUUUUAAGCACUGUGAAAGAUCCUACAGACUCAUGCCUGGAGAGAAUACAAGGUCUUCCAGAAUGGUAUACCAGCCCUCUCAACAUCUCACUACACACCAGAAUGAGAUGGAACCAAUUCCAGAAGUACCAGCACAAUGGUAGAACCUGAGCACCAUAACCGUCAUUUUACUGCAUGAUGGACACUACCAAUGCAAGAGAAGCAGCCCCCAUCAUCAGCACCACGGUGCCACAGCCUGCAGCAGCAACCUUCUCCUCUCUUCUGUAUCCCCAUCUUAAAUCUCACUCUUAGCUGACUUCUAUCUUAAUUGGAGAGAACCUCUUUAAAGAUGCAGCACUGUGCAUCCCCAGCAUCAAGUCCAAACCCCUCAUUAUAGAUAUCCUUUAUCCACUGUUUUUUGUCCAGCUUUAUCCCUCAUCAUUGCCUCUGUAAGCUCUUCCUUCUGCCAACCUUGAACUACUUUAACCUGUGAAACUCCUACCUUAAUUCUCAUCUCAGCUGCUUCCCCCGGUGUAUUGCUCUCCCCCAUCCUACCUUCCCUGGGAUAAUUACUGUUUGCCCUCAGCCUCAGCUUAAAUGGAAUCUCAUUUUGGAAGCCAGCAUUCCUCACCCUUGUCUGAGAUAGGUGUGCGUUUUACAUGCACUAAUAACACCUUUUCAAAUAACGUGUCCAUCGCCUUCACAAUCACCUCUUUAGUGGUUGCCUCAAAGUUAUCCUUUUCACACUGAAAUCCCAAUGUCUAGAACAGUUCUGAUCACAAAGUAUGUGUUUAGUAAAUAACUAGUGAAUGAUGGAUGAAUGACAGCAGUCACUUCCAAGUUCACAGGUUUCUUUGCUCAUUCAUUCAUUCAAAAUACUGUUGAAUUCUACUACGUAGCAAGUGAUAUGUACGAGGAACUGGAGAGUGAUGAGUUGAACUCAUUGUCUGCUGUUUCAGUCAAGGUUCUUCAGAGAAACAGAACUAAUAGGAGAUUAUAGAUAGAGAUAGAGAUGUAUUUAUUAUGAGAAAUUGGCUCAUACGGUUAUGGAGGCUGAGAAACUUCAUAAUCUGCCAAGUACAAGCUGGAGCCCCAGGAAAACCAGUGGUAUAAUUCAGUCCAGUGCAAAGGCCUGAGAAUUAGGGGAGCCAAUGAUGUAAAUCCCAGCCCAAGGGCAGAAGCUGAUGAAAUGAGAUGUCCCAGUUCAGGCAGUGAGGCAGAAAUGAAAACAUGAGGAAGGGCAAAUUCCUUCUUCCUCUGCCUUUUGUUCUAUCCAGGCCCUCAAUAGACUGGAUUGUGACUACUCAUAUUAAAAAGGGCAUUCUAGUUUAAUGAGUCCGCAGUCCACCAAUUCAAAUGCUAAUCUCAUCCUGAGACACUUUCACAGACCCACUCAAAAAUAAUGUUUAAUCUGAGCACUCCAUGACCCAGUCACGUUGACAUGUAAAAAAUUAACCAUCACACAUAGCCUCAUGGAGUUUAUUGUAAUGGGA